UACGAGAGGACCGGGUUGAACAUACCUCUGGUGUACCUGUCGUUCCGCCAGGAGCGCAGCAGGGUAGCUAUGUAUGGACGGGAUAACCGCUGAAAGCAUCUAAGCGGGAAGCCUCCCUCGAGAUAAGAUUUCUUAGGACGGUCGGAGACCACGACCUUGAUAGAUCGGAUGUGGAAGCGCGGUAACGUGUGGAGCUAACCGAUACUAAUUGUCCUAUUCGCGCUUGA
rnacentral:rRNA from 1 species